CCGCGCGGUUGGAGGUCAACGGCACACGGAAGGGGCAGAUCUUAAGACGCGGGGAUACCGGGAGCGAGGAAGGGCGUGAGGACCCGGGUGGGAGCAUGCAAGUGAUCAGCCACGAGGAAACUAGCAUCAGCGAACCAGAAGAUAGGGGCUAAAGAUGAUGGGACUCAAGCACCUGACUCUCAAUCUUGAAACUGACCUGCAGUGAGGUUGCGAGGUCACGCCAGGCAUGCCCAUUCUCUGCCCAGGCUUCUGAGACCAGCAGACCCCCAAAGAGGUGCUCUUAUGAAGACCCCUCAGCUUUCCCCUCGUCCUGUCCUUCCCUGGGCCACGUAAGGAAGUGGGGGCGCCACGGCCCUCAUUGCUUCCUCCGGCCCCUGUCUCCGCGGGGUCUGACAGCCCCUGCAAGAGGCGGUGCAAGGCCUACCUAGUCCCCUCCUGGCCAGACCCCGGCGUCCAGGCGUCGGGCUUGCACGCAGCAGGAGAAAGACGGGGAAAGCUCACCAAACCCCCAUAAAAAAAUAAAAAAUAAAAAGAA